CGUCGUCCUGGCUCCCGGAGCGGGGCGGUCCUAUGACAUGGGACGGAUCACCGCUCUGUUCAAGGCGGAUGGCGAAGA
rnacentral:tRNA from 1 species